UUUUUUUUUCUUUUCAUUUAAAUAUAAACCCAUUAAUUUCUGCCAGUCCAGUCUUGCUGCAAUACAGCCAUUGGGCAAGGCUCUGUGCAUUUCCACUCGCAAGGAAGCUGAAAGUGAACUGCUUAAGACUCAGAGUAGGUAUUUUGGUUCAGAACCUCACGAGGUACAACCCGAUGCAGCCUCGCUGAGAGCAGAGGAGCUAUGCCAACUGGAAUGUGCUAACAUCUGGCCUCUUGUUUUUAAUAAGGGAAAGAGUUCCUAGAAUGGACACACUUGAUUAACACCAAAGUAUUCAAGAAUUCAUCAGCAAGCUUUUUACACAGUCACCUUUUACUUCUGUUUGAACCCCUCCAUACAAGCGAUCCAAAUACCUGCUCAUGCUGAACAGUGCAAUAUAUCUCUGGUUUCAGUAAGGAAAUCUCAUGUCCAGCAACAGCUAAAAAAUGUGCAAAAUGUCUCAAAACAGUGCGUUGUAGAUUGCAUCCCCUUUGCACUGGGACAGCCCAGCCCCAAGGAGGGAGUCAGUUAACGUCCAGUAGGAGUUAAGACUGGCUUUCCAGUCACUACCUCCCAGUAAUGAGAAUGGUUGAAGUAAGUUUCCAUGUACUGCUGCUGCAAGGUGGUGGUGUGUGUUCUGCUGGCCAGGGUGCAUCAGGGUAAGAGGCUGGGGACCCCCAUUUGUGCCCCCAGCAGUGAUCCUGGCCCCAGGCAAUUCCAGCUGUUAGCACAAAGGGACUCGGAUGAGUUGGAUCAGUUCAACCUGAAGUAUUUAAGUUCCCGUUGAGGUGUAGGCAAAAGUUAAGAAUUCAAACCCUGACAAGAGCGAAGUGACACAAAGAUUAUGGCAGGCAUCAAGAGGGUUGGAUUUGUUCAGUACUUUCAGCUGAUUACUUUUCAUUUCAGUGGUGUGAUGGAAGAUAACUGUGGUUCGUGAUGCACUGCCUGAAUAUCCUUGGUUUAAUCCCUUACCUUCUCACAGCUUUCAAAAAUCAAUGAAAGAAGGCUGAGGGGGUUGAACUUUGGUAGAUGCUUUGGAAAUCCAUGCAUUUGCAUUGGCAUUUUCCCACAUCCCAAAUACUUGCUUGGGGUUUAAUCCAUGGGGAAAUAAUGUUCUAUGAGUUCUCCAUGGAUUUUUCUCUUAAGGGGGCUUAAGCUGUGUGUUAAGUGCUGUGCUGACAGUCAGGAAGCCAAUAGAUGAUAGUGAUACAUUAGGCUUGAAGUGGAUGAAGCUAGGAAUUGGUUGUGAAGGUCAGGAUAAGAGAGUGGAAGAGCUGACUCUAUCCUACUGGAAGUAGGUGCAUGACUCCAUGAAUGUGUGUUCAGAGAGGUGCUUUCAGAGCUCUGCUGAGAUACUCUCGUGAGUGUGUGGCCAAAGUCCCACUCUGCAGCUGUGCUUUUGCCACACCAGCCACUCUUACCCCCUCUGUAAUCACUUUGUUGGCAUUCUGUCGGGGUGGCUUUCAAGCAUCACAACUUCCCAGGCCUGAAAAUUAAGAGAACCCGAGUAUAUCCCAUCACUAUAAAAUGUGUUCCUCAGCACCAGCCCUGAGAAGUAAGGUCAUAAAGGACUCAUGUGCACAUCCAUAUGUGUGUCUACAUUUAGAAAUACUCUAUGUCCAUGUCUUGCAUGUGUACUGUGCCCGCAGAGCAUGUGAAAGACAGAAGAUUUCUGUGCAUUGAGCCCGUAAGAGCAGCCAAGCUUUCCAAGAGGGAAUGCUUGGAAAACUGCUGUGUCAUCUGAGCAUCUAAAAUGGGUGACAGUUUCAACUGAAUGCCCCCAUCCUACAGACACAGGGUGUGGGUAGGAGGAAGGUCUGGGAGAGCUGAUUCUUCUGCAGGGCCAAGGUGUAAAGAACAUUCAAACAGCGUUUGUCCUUAGUAUUUCAGUGUCUGUUUCCAAAUACGUAUUUAGGAACAGGAAAAAGAAAAAUUCAAAACCCUUAAGCUAAUUCUGUGUGUGACUGUUUCUGUGCUGUGGGUCUGUUCUAGGUUAGUGGGAUCAUUUACAGGAUCUGCAAAAUUUCAGUUUCUGACUGCUUGAAUUGCUUGAACCCUGGGUGGUACAUUAGAACAUUAGGAGAAGAAUCUUUAUGACACAGCACAACUGCCUUCUUAUCAAUCUUUUUGUUUCUAAGCUGAUACAUUUUUUUAAAAGCUAAAAAACAGAUAUUGAUUCUACCAAAGAUACGUAACUACUAAUUCUCAGCAA
rnacentral:lncRNA from 1 species